UCACAACUCUUACUUUCAAUACCUAGAACGUCCGACUUACUUCCUGUGAAUAGCCAUUCAUCUAACAAACAAGAUAAGUGGAAUAGACGAUGGACCACACGUCGGUACACGAAGAGUAGUGAAACCUUUAUCUAAAGAAAUAGAAGAGGCAGAAAAAGUAAUCUCGUUCAACGCAGAUGAUGGAUCCGCCGGCCGCCUUCACCGUAGACAGCGUAUCACCCUUAACCUGAGGUCUCAAACUACCCUUCGGAAAUGGUAAAACCAAGGAUGGAAUGGAAGGAUUUCCGAUUGCAUUUCGAACCUUCGAGACACUGAUCACGUAGGAUGUUAAUAACAGUCGUAAUAAAAUUUAUUUACAAUAGUUAAUAUAACUAUACCUAAGGCACAUUUUCUACUUAAGCGCAAUUUCAUUCUUCCAUAAUUUACUUUUUGUCACCCUCCUCUCGUUCAAAUAAAGUAUAACUAACACGUAACCUAUACAUACUAAUCCCACAACAAUCAUUACUAGUGAAGAGAUCUUGCUUAUCGUUGGCGAUAUAAGGAACAGUUUGACAUUUGCGACAUGCUCUUCGUACAGGACAACCUGUUGCUGGGUCCAAAAAAUUGGGAUCAUUAGCUCGGGAACGUUU